rnacentral:rRNA from 1 species
GUCCCGGUUUAAGCGUGUAGGUGUGUGUUCCAGGUAAAUCCGGUUCACUUUAACACUGAGGCGUGAUGACGAGGCACCACGGUGCUGAAGCAACAAAUGCCCUGCUUCCAGGAAAAGCCUCUAAGCAUCAGGUAACAUCAAAUCGUACCCCAAACCGACACAGGUGGUCAGGUAGAGAAUACCAAGGCGCUUGAGAGAACUCGGGUGAAGGAACUAGGCAAAAUGGUGCCGUAACUUCGGGAGAAGGCACGCUGACACGUAGGUGAAGUGAUUUACUCAUGGAGCUGAAGUCAGUCGAAGAUACCAGCUGGCUGCAACUGUUUAUUAAAAACACAGCACUGUGCAAACACGAAAGUGGACGUAUACGGUGUGACGCCUGCCCGGUGCCGGAAGGUUAAUUGAUGGGGUCAGCGCAAGCGAAGCUCCUGAUCGAAGCCCCGGUAAACGGCGGCCGUAACUAUAACGGUCCUAAGGUAGCGAAAUUCCUUGUCGGGUAAGUUCCGACCUGCACGAAUGGCGUAAUGAUGGCCAGGCUGUCUCCACCCGAGACUCAGUGAAAUUGAACUCGCUGUGAAGAUGCAGUGUACCCGCGGCAAGACGGAAAGACCCCGUGAACCUUUACUAUAGCUUGACACUGAACAUUGAGCCUUGAUGUGUAGGAUAGGUGGGAGGCUUUGAAGCGUGGACGCCAGUCUGCGUGGAGCCGACCUUGAAAUACCACCCUUUAAUGUUUGAUGUUCUAACGUGGACCCGUAAUCCGGGUUGCGGACAGUGUCUGGUGGGUAGUUUGACUGGGGCGGUCUCCUCCUAAAGAGUAACGGAGGAGCACGAAGGUUGGCUAAUCCUGGUCGGACAUCAGGAGGUUAGUGCAAUGGCAUAAGCCAGCUUGACUGCGAGCGUGACGGCGCGAGCAGGUGCGAAAGCAGGUCAUAGUGAUCCGGUGGUUCUGAAUGGAAGGGCCAUCGCUCAACGGAUAAAAGGUACUCCGGGGAUAACAGGCUGAUACCGCCCAAGAGUUCAUAUCGACGGCGGUGUUUGGCACCUCGAUGUCGGCUCAUCACAUCCUGGGGCUGAAGUAGGUCCCAAGGGUAUGGCUGUUCGCCAUUUAAAGUGGUACGCGAGCUGGGUUUAGAACGUCGUGAGACAGUUCGGUCCCUAUCUGCCGUGGGCGCUGGAAGACUGAGGGGGGCUGCUCCUAGUACGAGAGGACCGGAGUGGACGCAUCACUGGUGUUCGGGUUGUCAUGCCAAUGGCACUGCCCGGUAGCUAAAUGCGGAAAAGAUAAGUGCUGAAAGCAUCUAAGCACGAAACUUGCCCCGAGAUGAGUCUUCCCUGAGACUUUGAGUCUCCUGAAGGAACGUUAAAGACGAUGACGUUGAUAGGCCGGGUGUGUAAGCGCAGCGAUGCGUUGAGCUAACCGGUACUAAUGAACCGUGAGG